CAAUGAAGAAAGCAUGAUAAUGUGCAUAUAAAUUGAAUUGGGUCUCUAGACCUGUCCUCUCUAAUGCCAUUUGGCUUUAUUUUGGGGCAUGGUUUCGCACCAAAAUA